ACAAAGUACUCCCUGCGUCCCAUUUUAAGUGCACGUUUGAACGUCCGCCUUAUUUCAAAGUUUUUGUGAUUAAUACUUUUAUUUUUAUUAGAUGAUAAAACGUAAAUAAUACUUUAAGUAUGGCCUUUUUAUUUUUUAUGAAUUUUUUAAAUAAGAUAUACGGUCAAAUGUUGAACAUGAGAACCCAUAACUAUACUUAAU
rnacentral:pre_miRNA from 1 species